GACGAACGCUGGCGGCGUGCCUAAUACAUGCAAGUUGAGCGCUGAAGGUUGGUACUUGUACCAACUGGAUGAGCCGCGAACGGGUGAGUAACGCGUGGGGACUCUGCCUUUGAGCGGGGGACCACAUUUGGAAACGAAUGCUAAUACCGCAUAAAAACUUUAAACACAAGUUUUAAGUUUGAAAGAUGCAAUUGCAUCACUCACAGAUGAUCCCGCGUUGUAUUAGCUAGUUGGUGAGGUAAAGGCGCACCAAGGCGAUGAUACAUAGCCGACCUGAGAGGGUGAUCAGCCGGACUGGGACUGAGACACGGCACAAACUGCUACGGGAGGCAGCCGGAGGGAAUCGUCGGCAAGGGACGAAAGUCUGAGCGAGCAACGCCGCGGGAGUGAAGAAGGUCUUCGGGUCGUAAAUCUCGGUUGGUAGGGAAGAACGUUGGUGAGAGUGGAAAGCUCAUCAAGUGACGGUAACGACUCAGAAAGGGACGGCUAACUACGUG
rnacentral:rRNA from 1 species